rnacentral:rRNA from 1 species
UAAGACAGAGGGUGCAAACGUUGUUCGGAAUUACUGGGCGUAAAGCGCGUGUAGGCAGCUUGGCAAGUCGGGUGUGAAAGCCCUGGGCUCAACCUAGGAAGUGCACUCGAAACUGCUUCGCUUGAGUAUCGGAGAGGAAAGCGGAAUUCUCGGUGUAGAGGUGAAAUUCGUAGAUAUCGAGAGGAACACCAGUGGCGAAGGCGGCUUUCUGGACGAUCACUGACGCUGAGACGCGAAAGCGUGGGGAGCAAACAGGAUUAGAUACCCUGGUAGUCCACGCCGUAAACGAUGGGUGCUAGGUGUCGCGGGCUUUGACUCCUGCGGUGCCGUAGCUAACGCAUUAAGCACCCCGCCUGGGGAGUACGGCCGCAAGGCUA